rnacentral:rRNA from 1 species
AGAGUUUGAUCCUGGCUCAGGAUGAACGCUGGCGGCGUGCCUAAUACAUGCAAGUCGAACGAAGCACAUUUGUGCUUAGUGGCAAAGGGGAGAAUCAAAUAUAAAUCACCUGCCCUUGACAGGGAGAUAACCAUCAAAAACAAACUCUUACACCGCAUAGGUAAUUAAGUUGCAUGUCUCAUGUAUUAGAUAUCCUACGAGAUAUGUGAAGGAAGGACUUAUCAGUCAUUAGAUAUUGGGAGAGAUAACGGCUCCCCACGAGUAUGAAGUGUAUACCACGUGAGAGAGUGAUAGCCCACACAUGGAAUGAGACACGCCCCCGAGUCUUACGGGAGGCACCACUGUGGAAUAUUGCACACAAGGGGAAACCGCGAUGCCCCAAUACGGCGUGAGUGAUGACGACGUUUUGGUUGUAAAAAUUUGUUUUCAGGGAGGAUAAUGACGGUACUUGAGGAGGAAGCCACGGCUAAUUACGUGCCAGCAGCAGCGGUAAUAAGUAGGUGGCAACCGUUGUCAUCAUUUUUUGGGCGUAAAGGGAGUGUAGGCGGAUUUUUAAGUAAUAUGAGAAAUACCCGGGCUUAUCUUUGGUGAUCCAUUUCAAACUGGAAUUGUUGAGUACAGUAGAGGAGAAGGGAAUUCUCUAGUGUAGCGGUGAAAUGAGUAGAGAUUAGGAAGAACACCAGCGGAGAAGGCGCUUCUUUGGUCUGUAAUUCACGAUGAGGCUACAAAGAAUGGGGAGCAACCAACAUUAGAUACCACGGUAGUCCUCCCCGCAAACGAUGAAUAGUAGGUGUAGGGGUUGUCAUCACCUGUGUGCCACCGCUCACACAUUACGUAUUCCGCGUGGAGAGUGCGGUCGCAAGAUUAAAUCUCAAAAGAAUUGACGAGAGCCCGCACACGCAGUAGAGUAUGUGGUUUUAUUAGACGCAACGAGGAGCGCCUCCACAGUACUUCAUAUCCCUUGGCUUCCUUGUAACGGAGGGUCUCGUUCUUCGGUUUGACAAGCUGACAGGUCGUGCAUGUUGUUAGUCAGCUUGUGUCGAGAGAUGUUGGGUUAAGUCCCGCAGCGCGCGCCACCCGUUCGGUUAGUUCAUAAACAAGAGCACUCUGGCCGGACUGCCGUUGACAAAACGGAGGAAGGUGGGGACGACGUCAAAUCAUCAUGCCCCUUACGUUUUGGGCUACACACGUACUACAAUGGCGAAAACAAAGGGAAGCAAUACCGCGAGGUGGAGCAAACCCCAUAAAAAUCGUCUCAGUUCGGACUGCAGGCUGCAACCCGCCUGCACGAAGUUGGAAUUGCUAGUAAUCGCGGGUCAGCAUACCGCGGUGAAUACGUUCCCGGGCUUUGCACACACCGCCCGUCA